GCUGGUGAUGAAGAUGAAGCUCAGAACAGACUGAUCUCAGCGGAACGAAGAUGCACUAAAUCAAUGAAUUUACCUCCAGAUAUGGCAGGUGAUGAUUUUGGUCAGAAGAGACUGGUUGCAGGACUGACUCCAGCUGCACAACGCUGGAAUUCCAGGAAUGUCUCCACUCCAAAUCUGGCUUUUGGGAGAAAUGAUGAGUAAAGAAGUGGAGAUUCAGUGAAAGAUCUGUUACUCACCAGCAGUGCCUCGCACCAAUACCAGCAUCACCACCAACACCAUAAAUCACCAUUAUCUCUUAAACCCUGCCCACAUCCAUGAACUGAACACACUGACCAACUCUGUACUGGUCCAUCUAGGAAAGUAUGGCAACACUGUUAACAGAAUCCCCCUGAAAGAGGCUCCUCUAACUAGUUACUGACAGUAGAAUAUAACCAGACUGGAACAUGUUCAGCAGUAUCCAUUCCUACCUGCUAGAACGGAUAAAGCUGCUGACUAACUGACAUUAGUUUCACUAAGUUCAUCUAAUCACCAAAAAAUCCUUCCGUUUUCUGUGAAUCAGCUGAAAGAAUUUGGUGUCAGGAAUCAUUUGUUUCUAUGAGCCGUUUGGCUCCUCCCUUAUUGUGAUGCAGUGGCGCAAAAAGGGGGUAUGCAGCGUGUGCGACGCAUAGGGGCGCUGCACUAGAGGGGGCGUCAAAUCGAUGCCGAUAAUCGAUUAUUUCUGUUACUAACGCCGUUACUUUUUUCAGUAACGAGUAAUCUAACUAAUUACUCCGACUGUAACUAUAACACCGUUACCAUUUCCCCAUUACACCCCGUUACUGCACGUUACUUUAGCAGCUGAAUUACCCUUUUUUAACAGACAAAGGGCCCUAUCUUACACCCCACGCAAGGCAUGUAGCGUGGCGCACUGCCACCCGUCAACAGUCUAGUUUUAGGCCUGGCACGCGUCCUUAAAAUAGCGUUGGACUUUUGGAUAAAUUUAACGCUGAUGGGUGGGUGGUCUGGAAAUGAUGUGUGUUCAGCUACAUUUCUGGCGUGUUUCUAUCUUGGCGGCGGAAAAAAGCUUUGCACGAUUGAUACUCCUUCUUUACUUUUCUUCAAUAAAAUAUACUUAGAAAUCUUCACAGUAACUAUCAAUUAUUAUUAGUUUAUUUCUGUCAGUUAUAAGGAUUUAUAUUUAUGUUUAGUACACAGACUAAAUAACUGUAACUAUGACUGUAGCAGACAGGCAUUCUGCUGUUUAAGAAUUUCAACAGAUGCUUAUUCUCACUCUGGAGUUUUUGAAAUGGAAAAUUAAAAGAGAACUUUGACUGAACAUAAAUUUAUUUUAUUUAACUUUGCUAUU